UCUGCCAGAAGUAACAUUGUCUUCAUGUUUCUGUCCCCCAGAGGGUUUCAUCUCCACUUGUACAUUCUUGUCACUGCUCGACAGGAUGUUGAAUGUGGAUCUGCUGCUUUGGGCGUGUUUAAAUAAGAAGUGACUGCACUUCGCUUUGAGAAUAUUUCAGACUUCCUGAAGAAACUGGGAAGUGCCAAUGGAGUGCCCAGGCUCAGAACACACCAUGGCCCAUCAACAAAGCUGGGAAAUCAGCAGACACGAUCACAUUUGUGAACACUUUGCCAAAAACAGAAGGAGGAGAGGAGGGGAUGAUGAAAAAAUACAAAUCUUCACUCUUCUUGUUAGCUUCUGGGUGAAAAGAUUUGUGAUGGAAAAUACAGCUCUUCAAAGAUUUCUAGUAUUGACAGAGGAGUUUGAGAGGAAUAAAGCAUACACAAAUUAUCUGGGCUCUUCGAAUUCAGAGGGACAGCGCGAUCCAUCCGAGGCUCCCAUCCAUCUGGUGAGGCACAGACAGCCGCUGACAUCGGGGCAGUGAAAAUGAGCAAAUUAAAGACCGUAACUGGGAUGUUUACAGCAGCAACAUGGUGAACAAACAGAUAAGGAUGAUGUGGAAAGCAAAAGGUCACUGGACUUCAAGGACAAACUCAUGGGAAAUGAAUCCACUGAGAUUGCUGAAACUGUGUCUGGCCCUGGAUGUCUGUGCUGGAGGAGGGGGCAGCACACAGGGCCAUGGGAGGCAGCAGAAGCAGAACAUCAGUCUGCCACGUUCUUAUGGAAACCUGGUACCUGAUGUGGAGAGAGCACUGGGAAUGGCAUUCCUGUCUCAUUUUUGUUCUGUCUUGUUUGAAGGCCAGACUUCCUUGAAUAGACACAAGCUCUUAGAAUGAACAGCUCCUGGAUUUCAUUUCUGCUGCAGACCUGACUGCCACUCUCGGUAGAAAGGGAAAUGAAUCUCAGCUUCUAAUUUUCAUCUGUCUUCUAAUUUUCCCUAAUGCAGGAUUUCUGCUCUUCUCCCCAGAGCUUGCACAAGCUGAACAGUCACUGAAAGGCAAAGGUCAGACAAAGCAAAGACAGAUCACAUCUACUUCAAAUACUGUUUGCCCAACUAUAAUUAGAAAUUAUGAUUGAAAACAGUGAGAUCUCUGCUCUUACAGUUAUCUUCAUGAAACUGUCCACUGGGUGACUAUGUUAAAGAAACGAAGAAUGAACAGGGAGAAAAGAAAAUCCAUACCGAAAGUCAAACUCUUCUCUCUGGGAAAGCCUUGGGGCACCGACCUGUGCCUCCAGUGAGGUACAGGUGAGAUCUCUGUGCGCUGCAGCCCAUGUUCCACGCUCUUCCAGUUUUUCCACCCAGAUGUUUGUACCUUCCAAAUCUGUUUUACUGAGGAAUAUCUUUGGCCCCAACAUGUACAGAAAAAGAAAGGCCAGAAGCAACAACGAUGAUGGUCUGGUCCUACUGCAAAGCAAAGCCCACAGCUUCCCAGUGCUUUCUCCACCAGCACCCUAAAUUCUGCUUAAAUUACCAUUUUUAUUGAAAACCCAAUGCUUAUUAAAGGCUAUGCAAUAGAAGAUCCAUUGGGUGCUUGGGAACUGAAGUACCCAAAAAUUGAGAUAAAAUAUGAAAACCCUUUGUCAUUGAGCAAAUCUUCAUCCUGUGAAGGAGAAAGUGUCAAAAUAUCCAUUGGCUGUACCUGAUAAAUGUAUUGCUGAACUGCUGAGUGGCCCUGGUCUGGAGACAGGAGAGGAAUCCAGGUCUUUGAAGACCCAAGCACUAUCCAAUGAGCUCUGCUCCCAAAACACUGGCUGGUCUGAGCUUUUAUCAAAUCUAAGUGUUCUUUAACUCCUGCUGACAAGAGCAAUCUGAAUCCUCAGAGGUCUUGAGUAAAGAGGAAACCUGCAGGGACCAGGUUAAGUUGAAAGACACAGGCCAAGCUGAAGUGAGAAUUUAUUUCCUGAAGAAAACAGAUUUAAUGUGAAAGGUGAUCCUCAAAAGCUUCACAGCUCCAGUUGCCUUGGAUAAGCACCAAGAAAAGCAGCUGCUGCUCCAAGUGAGUCUCCCACAUCCCUGAGAGCUGAGGACCACAGAGGAGGAACAUUGUGCCCCUCUCUUCAAGGACAGUGCCCAUAUUAAAGUACUAAAGGAGGAUUCAUGUGAAAACCAUUAAACCCAGGCUUUCAGUUCUUCAUUCUGCAUUGCACUGUGGUUCAGAAUCUGCCCAGCAGAGCCUUCAGUUCCUGCCCCUCACUAAUUAUACCUGUAAUUACCUUUAACUUUGCAAUCCUGACUCUCAUAACACCAGACAUUUCUACACUUCAUCAUGUUUGUAGGAAAAACAACAACAAAAACAAAAGAAACAAUAUUAGCAAAAUAUUCACCAUCUUUUAGACCACUUAAAGGAAUAUAGGAAUGUUUGUUGGAAAUUUAAGACUGUUAUUACAUUUAUUCUUAAAUUAAUGAGUGCAAAAAUAGCGGGAGGACAGAGUGAGUAAGUAGCUUAUUGUUUGGAGUGCUGAGAGCAGCCUAUAAGGAUGUUGUGCUGAGAAUACUCUCCAACGUGAAAAAGAGACCCACAGGCAAACAGCUAUUAUCUCAAGUAAUCUUCAGUGAAGAGGAUGUGCCUAUGAAAUAACUUUUGGAGACCUUGUGUAAUUCAAUCCCUCAACCUUUGCUCACCAAGCUACUAGAUCAGAAGAGAAAUGUUCAUAAACCCUUUUGAAGUGCACCAAAACAUAUGGAAUAUGGUGACUGAAGGAGGGGUUAGUGUGUGACCUAAUGAUGAGAUGAACAAAAGAGGGAAAAAACAUUGCACCACCUUUUUGCAAGUUCCAUUUAUCCAUGAAAUAAAAAUUGCAUUUGUAUUUGCAUUUCCAUUACACAGAAUUGCUAUCUUCUGACUUACCAGCACAAUGGUAUUGUUUUAUUUAUUUAAACUGGAUGGUUUGCUUUCCACAGUAUGACCAGCUGUGAGAAAAAUGGGAUUCAAUAAUGUGAACAUUUCACAGUAAAUAAAAUGCAUUAAUACAACAAUAUAAAAGCUGUGCUCAGCAGUUUCCCUAGGACAAAGUCUGUUCUAGAACUAUGCAUCAAGCUUUAUAAACACUUGGAGAACUAUAAAGGUUACAUCUUAUUGUGUGAAGUAAUACAAAAAUAUAUAUAGAAUUUCUGCUUAGGAUUCUGCUAACUCACAUCUCCCCAUUUAAAAAGUUACAUGUUUAAUUGCCUGGUUUCAAGCAGAAUAUUUCUGCAUCUCUAUUUCUUGCUCAUAUUCACUACUGCAAGCUUCUCUUUAAAAUCUUGCUGUGACUCAUUCUUGAAGGAAAGAAAACAGUGAAGUCAUGUCUUAGUUUGAAGGGUAGCAAAACCAAAAUGAAAAUGAAAACACUUACCUGCUUUUAAUGCUCCCAGUCAUCCUUUUUCUCCUUGACUACUUAGUAACAUCUGCAAUCUUUCU